AGAGCGAACGCUGGCGGCGUGCUUAACACAUGCAAGUCGAGUGCGCGCCUGUAGCAAUACAGGUGGCGCACGGCGCACGGGUGCGUAACACGUGGGUAAUCUGCCCUUCGAUGGGGAAUAACUCGCCGAAAGGCGAGCUAAUUCCGCAUAACAUUCCCUGAACCUCGGUUUGGGGAUUCAAAGCCGUAAGGCGUCGGAGGAGGAGCCCGCGCCCGAUUAGCUAGUUGGCGAGGUAACGGCUCACCAAGGCAAUGAUCGGUAGCUGGUCUGAGAGGAUGGCCAGCCACACUGGAACUGAGACACGGUCCAGACUCCUACGGGAGGCAGCAGUGGGGAAUCUUGCGCAAUGGGCGAAAGCCUGACGCAGCGACGCCGCGUGGGGGAUGAAGCUUCUCGGAGUGUAAACCCCUUUCGACUGGGACGAAUGCCUCGCAAGAGGAGUGACGGUACCAGUAGAAGAAGCCCCGGCUAACUACGUGCCAGCAGCCGCGGUAAGACGUAGGGGGCCAGCGUUGUUCGGAAUUACUGGGUGUAAAGGGUUCGUAGGCGGUGCGGCAAGUUGGGAGUGAAAUCUCUGGGCUUAACCCAGAGGCUGCUUCCAAAACUGCCGUGCUCGAGUGUGGGAGAGGCGCGUGGAAUUGCAGGUGUAGCGGUGAAAUGCGUAGAUAUCUGCAGGAACACCCGUGGCGAAAGCGGCGCGCUGGACCACAACUGACGCUGAGGAACGAAAGCUAGGGGAGCAAACAGGAUUAGAUACCCUGGUAGUCCUAGCCCUAAACGAUCAGGACUUGGGGUGCCGCCCGUUCGGGCGUCGUCCCGGAGCUAACGCGUUAAGUCCUGCACCUGGGGAGUACGGUCGCAAGACUGAA
rnacentral:rRNA from 1 species